rnacentral:rRNA from 1 species
AUACGGAGGGUGCAAGCGUUACUCGGAAUCACUGGGCGUAAAGCGCGCGCAGGCGGCUUGAUAAGUUGGAUGUGAAAGCCUACGGCUCAACCGUAGAACUGCAUCCAAAACUGUCAAGCUCGAGUCUGGGAGGGGAAGAUGGAAUUAGUUGUGUAGGGGUAAAAUCCGUAGAGAUAACUAGGAAUACCAAAAGCGAAGGCGAUCUUCUGGAACAGUACUGACGCUGAGGCGCGAAAGCGUGGGGAGCAAACAGGAUUAGAAACCCUAGUAGUCC